GACAGGUGCUGCAUGGCUGUCGUCAGCUCGUGUUGUGAAAUGUUGGGUUAAGUCUCGCAACGAGCGCAACCCCUAUCUUUAGUUGCCAGCAUUAAGUUGGGCACUCUAGAGAGACUGCCCGGGUUAACCGGGAGGAAGGUGGGGAUGACGUCAAGUCCUCAUGGCCCUUAUGCCUAGGGCUACACACGUAAUACAAUGGCAGAUACAAUGGGAUGCGAUCACGCGAGUGUUAGCAAAUCUCAAAAAGUCUGUCUCAGUCCGGACUGGAGUCUGCAACUCGACUCCAUGAAGUUGGAAUCGCUAGUA
rnacentral:rRNA from 1 species